UACAGCCAUAUCAAGUUGAAACACCAGAUCUCAUACGAUCGCCGAAGUUAAGCAACGUCGAGUCUGAUCAAUGCCUAGAUGGGUGAUCGCGCUUGGGAAUACAAGAUGUUGCAA